GUAACAGCAAACAAUCACAAACCCAGUCCCAGCCGUCUCAGCUGUCAGGCCCUUUCCCCUCGGGUGCAGUUCCGCUCGCAGCCGGCAGGGGCGCUGGCGGCUCCCGGUGAGCAGGGCAGGUGCGAUGGUUCCCCCGCGGCUGCAGGGGGCGCUCCGGAGCGAGCUCAGGAAACACGCGGCACCGGUGCCCUGGGAUCCCGGGAAAGGAUGGAACAAAGGAGCUUCACAAACCCGUGGGCAGCCGAUCCCGGACUCUCAGGAACAGCAGGCUGGAGCGGCAGGCUGGAGCGGCAGGCUAGAACAGCAGGCUGGAGCGGCAGGGACGAGCACAAAUCCCGGGUGGCAGACGAGAUGUAUCCAGAUGGGAGAACCCCACGGAGGCCCAGGCAGGCUGGAGCGGCAGGGACGAACACAAAUCCCGGGUGGCAGACCAGAUGUAUCCAGAUGGGAAAACCCCACGGAAGCCCAGGCAGGCAGGGCAAGCAGGGCUACAGCGUAGCGAAAGCUCGAAGCAGCAGCGGGGCAGGGCAGCCACAGCCCGGCCUCCAGCAGGGCAGGGAAAGCGGCUUUUGGGGUCCCGGCGUUGUUUCCAGCAGGAAGAAAGAACGGCCAAAAAGAAAGAAGCAGCAGCUCCUUUCUCUGCAGCUUCUCUCUCCGGAUGCUCAGAGCGAACUGACCCCACACCCAGGUGUAGACAAAGGAGUAGCCAGGUCUGCCCCACCCCCCUUUUUGUCUUUCUUAAGUACAGCUAUUUGUCCCCUAGCAACAUGCAUAUGGGAGAAAAUUCCUUUAACAGGAAAAAAAACUAAGACUAAACUGAAACCCCAACAUUAUCCACCCCAAAUUUUUUCCCAUACUAACAUGUUACAUGAAACUUAACCUUUUUAACCAUAUAAAUCUAUGCAUCAUCCAAAUUAUAUACAAAUAUACAUGCUGAUACUGAUACAAGUACCGAGCCAUGGGUAGUUCACCCUAAAACAAGGUCCCCUUGAGGUAAGCAUCGGGUCUCUCCAUCCUUUUGCAUCACCCACCAGGUGCAACCUGGUCCCUGAGCAAAAACGACCCCACGGAUGGGUUUGUCUUUGCUCAAGGCAGACUUUACCCAAACAGUUUUUCCAAGCAUACCUCUCAUGUGCACCACUGGAACCUUAUCCCCGUCUGUUGUUUGUAGGGGUUCAGAUUGGGCAGGGCCUGCUCGGCUAGUGGAUCCUCGAGUGUUAACUAACCAGGUGGCUCUUGCUAAAUGCACCUCCCAGUUUUUGAAAGUCCCCCCACCCGGUGCCUUCAAGGUGGUUU
rnacentral:lncRNA from 1 species